UUUUUCCAUUAUUUUCUUGUAACUUAAAAACGUUUUUCCAUUAUUGAUGAAUAACGAAGAAAACAAAUGGUAAAAUAAAUCUAAGCUAGCGUUGUGAGAGUGGAGCUUUCAAGGCGGUUGUGUGUUUGCUCGGUGGUGGGGAGGUUUGGCCGGGGCUCUAGCUUCAUGCGGUAGAUCUGAGGGUCGGAUUAAGCGCGUGGACCCCAAGCUCUCCCUGGUUCUCUCAUCCUCUCCCACGGCAGUGGAGUGUUCUCCGGUGAAGAGGCGUGGCGGUUAGGGCUUCGUUUCGGGGUGGCUUGACGCGUAAGGGCUGGUGUCUAUCUGGAUCUGGAACUCCGGUUGACUAACUAUCAGUUUGUUUGCCUGCUAUGAGGACGGCAGGCUCUGCUGAGAAGGAGGAAAGCUGGAGGCGGUGGAGGCGGUGGAGGCGAGUGGUUUGCGGGGUGCGGUCUAGACCAAUUCAAGCGGCUGCUCCGUACCGGCGAUACCUUCCAGCUUCGGUGGUUUCCUUUUCCCUUUAGUGCUCUCUGUUUUCUUUUCAGGUUCUCUCCAAAGACGAGUCUCUCUGUUGUGUCCGGUGAUAUCUAUCACCCUAUGCUUUGCUGGUUUCCUUACUCACGGAAGUGCUUCAUCUCUCGGCUUGUUCGGCUCCGAUGCUCCGGCUUUAGGCGAUGAAUCGCGGUUGACGUGGCGCCUCUUCGGAGGAAGGUUUCGGCGGAUUCAAUUCGGUGGCGGCCGUCAUCUCUUUUGCUCUUCUCGCAGCAUUUUAGGGUUUCGUGGUCUGUUCCGGUUUUGGUAAACCGGUUGUUGCGUUGGGUUGGUUCUAUUUUUCUUUUUAGCUUUUUUUUUUUAGCUUUCUUAAUUUCCAG
rnacentral:lncRNA from 1 species